UACGUAGGGUGCAAGCGUUGUCCGGAAUUAUUGGGCGUAAAGAGCUCGUAGGCGGUCUGUUGCGUCGGCUGUGAAAACCCGAGGCUCAACCUCGGGCCUGCAGCCGAUACGGGCAGACUAGAGUUCGGCAGGGGAGACUGGAAUUCCUGGUGUAGCGGUGAAAUGCGCAGAUAUCGGGAGGAACACCCGUAGCGAAGGCGGCAUCCUGGACCGGUAUUGACGCUGAGGCGCGAAAGCCAGGGGAGCAAAGCGGG
rnacentral:rRNA from 1 species